UACGGAGGGGGCAAGCGUUGUUCGGAAUCACUGGGCGUAAAGCGCGUGUAGGCGGCUUGGUAAGUCGGGUGUGAAAGCCCGGAGCGCAACUCCGGAACUGCAUUCGAAACUACCUCGCUCGAGUCCCGGAGAGGGUGGUGGAAUUCCCGGUGUAGAGGUGAAAUUCGUAGAUAUCGGGAGGAACACCAGUGGCGAAGGCGGCCACCUGGACGGUGACUGACGCUGAGACGCGAAAGCGUGGGGAGCAACCAGG
rnacentral:rRNA from 1 species